AAGUUGAAAGCACUCUAUUACAAAGUUUCACUCACUUUACGCAUUCCCGAAUUACUCUAGUUUCAAUAUGUUAGACCAAUACGAAAUUGAAGUUCUACGAAGUUGAAAGUACUUUACGCAUUCACGAAUUACUCUAGUUUCACGAAGUAAAACGAAGUUGAAAGUAAAACAUGGAAUAACAUAAGUCUUCAGCAAACCACA
rnacentral:lncRNA from 1 species